AGAUGUGGGCACAUAUGCCAUUCAGCGGACACCGGACAGUGGACAGCGGACACCGGACAGUGGACAGUGCACGGAGGACAGUGGACAGUGCAAUGCCGUCAUGUCAUCAAGCGUCAGACUGUGCACAAACAGUUUCAAAUUAAUUAUUUGCCACUGCAAAUUAAAAUGAAGUCAUUAAGUCGGACGACUGGAUAGCUGGCUGACUGGCUGGCGGACUAGGUAAAAGAUGUAGCUGGUCAAUGGGCAUGCGGAUGGAGCAGUUAAUUAAGCCAGCUUCGUUCUUGGUCAGAUUCAUGCCGUCACUCGACUAGCGUUUAUGCCGUAACUAAGCAUGCUUCACACUGAAAUUCGAAUAUUUUAGUAAAUUUCAUAAUAUUCAUUUAGAUUCAAGUUCAACCCACACUCUGCCCUUACAUUUUUUCAAAAGACGGAACAUUUGUAAAGUUAGUAACAUUUUAUAUGAAUAUAUUGCAUUACAAGCGAAUAAAAUUAGAAUCUUAUUAACUCCAAAUUCCAAAUCGAUUUACCAUGUGGAUAUUACGUUUACGUAACGAGAUGACAAGCUAUUGUUCAACUGAAUUGAAAAACUGGACUCGUGAGACUAAACGUUGGGAAAGCUUAGGAAAGGCAAUGAUUGGCAUAUUAGCCAAACUGCCUAUGCGCAAUCUCUAUACACAGAACUCUCAGCCAGAAUUCGUGCGUCUUUACACAAGUGCACCGAGUGACCUGUAAUGCAGUCAAAACCUAUGUGUAUUUCAAAAUAAACAUGUUGACAUUAAUGCCCCCAUCAGGGUAUUUUGUCCCGGUAUGUGAAUAACAAA